ensembl:lncRNA
UAUGGGGUGCUGUGGGGCUCCCUAUGGGGCUGUAUGGGUCCCUGUGGGGCUCUAUGAGGCUCAAUAGGUCCCUAUGGGGCUCUAUGGGCUUCUGUGGGUCUCCCUGUGGGGCUCUAUGGGUCCCUAUGGGGCUCUAUGGGGCGCUGUGGCGCUGUAUGGGUCCCUGUGGGACUCUAUGGGGCUCAAUAGGUCCCUAUGGGGCUCUAUGGGGCGCUGUGGGUCUCCCUGUGGGGCUGUAUGGGUCCCUGUGGGGCUCUAUGGGGUGCUGUGGGGCUCCCUAUGGGGCUGUAUAGGUCCCUGUGGGGCUCUGUGGGUCCUUGUGGGGCUCUAUGCGUCCCUGUGGGGCUCUGUGAGUCCUUAUGGGGCUCUGUGGGUCCCUGUGGGGCUCUCUGGGUCCCUAUGGGGUGCUGUGGGGCUCCCUAUGGGGCGCUGUGGGUCUCCCUGUGGGGCUCUAUGGGUCCCUGUGGGGCUCUAUGGGGUGCUGUGGGGCUCCCUAUGGGGCUCUAUGGGUCCCUGUGGGGCUCCCUAUGGGGCUGUAUGGGUCCCUGUGGGGCUCAAUGGGGCGCUGUGGGGCCGUAUGGGUCCCUGUGGGGCUCUAUGGGGUGCUGUGCGGAUCCCUAUGGGGCUGUAUGGAUCCCUGUGGGGCUCUAUGAGGCUCAAUAGAUCCCUAUGGGGCUCUAUGGGGCGCUGUGGGUCUCCCUGUGGGGCGCUGUGGGUCCCUAUGGGGCUCUAUGGGGUGCUGUGGGGCUCCCUAUGGGGUUGUAUGGGUCCCUAUGGAGCUCUGUGGGUCCUUGUGGGGCUCUAUGGAUCCCUAUGGGGCUCUGUGGGUCUCUGUGGGUCCUUAUGGGGCUCUGUGGGUCCCUAUGGGGCUCUAUGGGUCCCUAUGGGGCUCUGUGGCUCCUUAUGGGGCUCUGUGGGUCCCUGUGGGGCUCUCUGGGUCCCUAUGGAGCUCUGUGGGUCCUUGUGGGGCUCUAUGGAUCCCUAUGGGGCUCUGUGGGUCUCUGUGGGUCCUUAUGGGGCUCUGUGGGUCCCUAUGGGGCUCUAUGGGUCCCUAUGGGGCUCUGUGGCUCCUUAUGGGGCUCUGUGGGUCCCUGUGGGGCUCUGUGGGUCACUAUGGGGCUCUGUGGGUCCCUGUGGGGCUCUAUGGGUCCCCGUGGGGCUCUGUGGGGUCUAUGGGUCCCUAUGGGGCUCUGUGGGUCCCUGUGGGGCUCUAUGGGUCCUUAUGGGGCACUGUGGGUCCCCGUGGGUUCCUGUGGGGCUCUGUGGCUCCCUAUGGGGCUCUAUGGGUCCCUGUGGGGCUGUGUGGGUCCCUAUGGGUGCGUAUGGGGCGCUGUGGGG